rnacentral:rRNA from 1 species
CAGUCGCCGCGGUAAUACGAAGGGGGCUAGCGUUGUUCGGAAUUACUGGGCGUAAAGCGCACGUAGGCGGACUUUUAAGUCAGGGGUGAAAUCCCGGGGCUCAACCUCGGAACUGCCUUUGAUACUGGAAGUCUUGAGUAUGGAAGAGGUUAGUGGAAUUGCGAGUGUAGAGGUGAAAUUCGUAGAUAUUCGCAGGAACACCAGUGGCGAAGGCGGCUAACUGGUCCAUAACUGACGCUGAGGUGCGAAAGCGUGGGGAGCAAACAGGAUUAGAUACCCCAGUAGUCCCUGUCUCUUAUAC